CCCUGGCUCAGAGGUAGACCAUUUGCCUUGCAUGCAGAAGGUCCUAGGUUCAGGUCCCAGGGGCAGGG